rnacentral:rRNA from 1 species
AUGGCGUUUGGGUCGAAACGUAAGUUAGCAGAUCGGAGUGACAUCGAGGAGGAUGACGCCGAUGAUGUUGAUCUCAUCAAUUCCGAUGAUGAGCGUAAUAGCGCUGAUGAACAAGAUGAAUCUGCCGAGCAUGGUACUGCAAAACCUGCUAAAUCCCUUCUAGAUGAGGUAUUUUUUCUUGAUGCACCUAAAGGGAAGAACUCUGGUGGAUCAAGACCCUGGCGAUGCAAACAUUGUGAUAAGAAGUACACUAGUAGUUAUACAAGAAUUCAUCAGCACUUCUUUGGUGUUGGUCCUGGCAAGACAAAACAAAUUGCUCGCUGCUCUGUCGCAAGUGAUCGCGUCAAGUAUAAGAAAAUAUAUGAUAAGUAUCACCAACCUGAGAAAGUACAAGCUUCAGGCUCGGCGCCUAAAAAGCAAUUAGUAGAAGCUUUUGCUGGGGUGGAAAGAGAUGCAGUGGACAUGCAAAUAAUGUUGUUCCUUUGUGCUAAUGGAAUUCCCUUUAAUGUGUUGAGAAGUCCUCAAUACUAUGAAAUGGUAGCAGCCAUCCAGAGAGCACCAAAGGGAUACAAACCUCCUGCAUAUGAGAAGGCUAGGACUACUCUUCUAGAUGCAUGUAAGAGAAAGGUGGAGAAUGAUUUGGCUCCGGUUAGACAAACAUGGUAUUCCCAUGGUGUCUCUGUUGUUUCUGACGGAUGGACAAAUAUGAAGAACCAUCCAUUAAUCAACGUAAUAGCAUCGAAUAGCCAUGGUUCAAUGUUUCUGUACGCAAAAGACUUCUCUGGAGAAGAGAAGACAGGUGAAUCCAUUGCAGAAUUCUUACUGCAAGCCAUUGAGGAGAUUGGCCCUUCCAAUGUCCUUCAGGUCAUCACUGAUAAUGCAUCUAAUUGCAGAGUUGCGGGUGAAGAAAUUGAGAAAGUGCAUAAGCAUAUAUUUUGGUCUAUGUGUGGUUCACACACUGAAUCUAGUAUUCAAAGAUUUUGCAAAAAAGUUUGCUUGGAUGGUUGA